rnacentral:rRNA from 1 species
UACGUAGGGUGCGAGCGUUAAUCGGAAUUACUGGGCGUAAAGCGUGCGCAGGCGGUUCGCUAAGACCGAUGUGAAAUCCCCGGGCUUAACCUGGGAACUGCGUUUGAAACUACAAGGCUAGAGUGUGGCAGAGGGGGGUGGAAUUCCACGUGUAGCAGUGAAAUGCGUAGAGAUGUGGAGGAACACCGAUGGCGAAGGCAGCCCCCUGGGUUAACACUGACGCUCAGGCACGAAAGCGUGGGGAGCAAACAGG